ensembl:lncRNA
GCAAAGCGAAAGACGGCGCAGGCUUCGUGGCGCAGGCUUCGUAGCGCCGGCCUCGCUCAGCUUUUCGUCCUUGCUCAGCUGUGUUUGGGACCAGGUUAGGGAGGCGGCUGGGGAAGCGCCGAGAAAGCGGAAGAGAGAAGCGGGAAGUGAAAGGAGCCGAAGAAUUGGAAAGGGAAAGAAAGAAAGGGGGUUGAGAGAAGUGUGUCGUCCUGGCUGUUCCGGCAGGAAGGGGUUACAGGCGGCUGAUGUAGUGAGCCACGCGUGUCCCAGCCAUAUCUGAGUUAUGAGUGGUUGCAGUGAAAGGAUGCGGGUGAGAGACUUGCAAUCCCCGCAUCCGAGGCUUUUCUCUUCCUUUUCUACCAAGUUGUUCACUGCAAUGGGUAAAAGUCCCAACCCGCGGAGGAGUAAACCAGUUGUGAGAUAGACACAGAGCCUGGAAGAGAAACCGAGGGUUAAGACGCGAGAUAACUGCAGGGGCAAAACUUGGCCACACGGGAAAUUGGAAAUCAAGAUUGUUCAGAAGUUUGUAAUGUGGUUUUCAUGUUUGAUAUUCGUUGUGUUAUUAAUGUGUGGAAAUAUUUAACUUGCAAGUGCAUAAUCCACUGGUUCUGUGGUGUGGUGUCGACACAGACCGUAUAAAACUUUUGACCAUCUCAAAAACCAGAUUUAUCAAACCUUAACAACUGUUCUGAAGGCUGUAGAGCUCUCGGCAUAUGAAGGCUCCCUCUGAACCUCUGCACUGAGACUUGUCCAAACUCUUGCUGACGAAAAUUCAAUUAACUGUCAAGUUAAGAAGAAAAAAAGGGAAUUUUAUUUGAGCCAAACUGAUGUUGAUAACACAGGAAGCAGUCUCAGAAAGCUCUGAGGACCAUUCUGCCUGUUAGAAGUCGAAGGCACAGUCAUAUACGUUUUUGAAACAAAGGAUCAUACAUCAAAAUGACCGACUAAUAUUUUACAUAAACUUCACCAAAGAUACAUAGUCCAGGUAAGCACAUGCCAAGCAAGCAUCUAAUCCCUAUCCACCCCACGCCCCCUCACCUAAAGAGCUGGGAAAGGACACUGUUCUUUUAAGAAGUUACAUUGCUGGGGUCAGAAUAAAGGGAAAAAAAUGAUCUUUGUGGUUGAGCGGGCACUCCCGUGUUUGAGAAGUUCUGGUUAACUGUAAUAAAGAUGCACACUGCACAUUAGGGACGGAGGAGGCCCAAACAAACAGAGGGAGAAUUUUAUGUUUAAUUUUUUCUCGUCCUGCCUUAAAAUAUAAAUUGUAUUUCAUCACUCUAUUAUGGCUUCUAGCAGCUUAAGGUCUUGCCCCUAGGGUGAUCCUAGCGCCCCACCCCUUUAAAAUACCUGCCUAGAAAAGCUCAACACUGCCCGAAGAAUUUGUGAUUUGUUCCAGGCAAAACCUGGAUAGGCAGACAGACCCCAGAGCCCUCUCUUGGAGCAGCUACUUUAGAAAGCUUGCAAUUUAAAUUCUUUUCUCUGCCCUUUGUGAUAUAAAUCUACCAUCCAGAACUGUUUCCUUAAGGACUUGUGAGCCCCUCUCUCUAAGAUGCAGAUAGUCAGGGAGAUAACUCUGUGCUAGCUCCCAGUCCUUGUGGGAGGAUAAGGACCUACCUUUCUUCAGCUUGCGCUACUGCUUCCUCUCAUAAAGAUAGAAGUUUCUUUCUCCCCUGACAAAUGCCAGUUAACAAACCCAGAUGGCCUAGUCACGUGGAUCACCCACCCACCCCUUUACCACCCCUUAGUGACUUUCCCUUAGCGCACUCCAGCCUUUGCAAAGUCUUCAGCCUUCUGAUUCAGGGAAGUGGAGUUCAGUUCAUACUGUAGUAUUGCUGAACAAAAUAUGUCCUUACCACUUUCGUGUCCAGCUUUGUUUAUGUCUAACAAUCCAUCCAGGUAGCAAAGUUCUAUUAUUAAAAUAUGCUUGGUUUUUAAAAAAUAAAUAUUUGGACUUGGCUUCCUGUAGUCAGAUAAACUUUGCUCUCAAUGUUGUUGACCGCCCUUAACCUCUGCUUAAGCUGGUAUUAAAAAACAAAAUUCAACUGAGUGAAUUUGAAGACCUAAUUGGCUUCAUUAAAUGAUUCGUGAAUCAGGCAUCAUCCCAUCUAACAAGUAGAAAGGAGCUCCAAGGAGCUGUACAAUGGAAGGUUUUUUAAAAGCAGGAAGGAGGGGACAAGGAAGUCAAAAAGAAAAGAAAGGAUUAUUUCAGGCAAGGUCACCUUCUUUUGGGAGAAGGGUAGGGGUUUAUCAUGCAGAUCACCUCACUAGUGUUGAUCAGGAAAUUCCAAACUGAUUGGUGUAAAAUUACAUUUCUCUGGGUAUAUACCCAGUACACAUACAUACAAUGGAAUAUUACUCAACCAUAAAAAGGAACGAAAUUGGGUCAUUUGUGGAUGGACCUAGAGAGUUUCAUACGGAGUGAAGUAAGUCAGAAAGAGAAAAACAAAUAAUUGUAUAUUAAUGCAUAUAUGUGGAACCUAGAAAAAUGGUAUAGAUGAUCUUAUCUGCAAAGCAGAAAUAGAGACACAGAGGUAGAGAACAAAUGUAUGGAUACCAAGGGGGAAAGGAGGAGGUGGGAGGAAUUGGGAGAUUGGGAUUGACACAUAUACAUACUGAUACUAUGUAUAAAAUAGGUAACUAAUAAUAUACUGUAUAGCACAGGGAACUCUACUUAAUGUACUGUGGUGACCUAAAUGGGAAGGAAAUCCAGAAAAGAGGGGAUAUAUGUAUAUGUAUAGCUGAUUCAUUUUGCUGUACAGUAGUAACUAACACAGCAUUGUAAAGCAACUAUACUCCAAUAAAAAUUAAUUU